AUUUCUGACAGCAAAAAACAUAAUACCAUCGUUAAUGUGUACCAUGCUGUCAAAAAAGUUCUAACACUGCUUUAGAAAUAAAUGAAGUUUGAAGUUAGCCAUGCCUUAUGCUAGCGUUAGCUUUUUCGCUAGCACUCCAUGUACCUAAAUGGUUGUGAUCUUGCCAUAGUCAUGACUUGAAUUUAAACUAGUCUGAC